ensembl:lncRNA
CACAUCCUGUGCUCAGUCUCCAGUAUGAGCAUGCUUUAAUUUUCCUUACUUUUGUCUUAACAUCAGCUGAAUGGAGUGUUCAUUUUGGUCAUUCAGUUUUGUUUUAUUAUUAUUAUUUUUAUUUAACUAAUAUUAAUUUAUUAAUAGCCUUCUCUGACCUUUUAUAAGAAUCUUUUCUACAUUCAACAUGGCACAGAGACAGAAGAGAGUCAUAGUGUCUGAAGACAAACCCAAAUCUCAAGAAGACACUGGAUCACUUGAGUCUGAAGGAUUGAAACUUGUGAGACAAGACAGCAAGAAAUUAGAUCCACCUAAUAUGUCUGAAAACAAAGUCAAACCUCAGAGUGAAAGAGAAUGUGAGAUGGAAAGUAGAAUAACAGAUUCACAAACCAGCAGAUUACUUAAAGGUGAAAGACUGAAACCUGUGAGACGGAACAGCAUUCGAGAUCGACCCAGCAUGUCUGAAGACACACUCAAACCUCAAGAAAACACUGGAUACCUUGAGUUUGAAGGACUGGAAAUUAAUUGUGUGACAAAACAGCAAGGAAAUACUGUAGAUUCACUUAAUGGUAAGAAUUCUUUUAUGGAAAUGUAGAAAAUUACAUAAUAUGUUUUUAGGCCUGUUACUCAUUUCACAGAGGUGUUGGAGGGAGGGGGAGGGGGUUGUUCAUUUACAUAGGAAUGCUCAAUGUAAAAUUUAUAAAAUGCUGAUCCAAAACUAAAUCACUUUUGUUCUUUACAAGUGUUCCCCCAUUGUUCUUUACACAGCAUGAUCUACUCUGCUUGCAAAUUGUUAAAUUCUUAUGCUUGACUCUUUCCUAGCUAGACAAACAAUUUCUGUCAUUUCUGGCAAUCCACUUUUUCACUGGUGGGGCACUGACAUGCAUUUGCUGGAAUAGUACAGAAUCUCUGGAUUUUUAUUUAUUUACUUCUGCUCUAUGCCGAUAAAACUGUAGUUAUGCAAAAGUAUGUGAUUUUUUUUCUUUCUCUCUUUCUCUUUCCAUUCAGUUUUCUGGAGUGAAGAGUGCCAGUAUCCCUCAGAACUGAGUUCUGAGUUCUAGCAUGUAAUGGGAAAUGCUUCAUGUACUCCCACAUGAUAGCAGUGCAUGUGUUUCAUGAACUGUAAGACAUAUAUUUGUACAUCGCAUAUUUGUACUUUAGUAACUAUAUUAGUAAGCAAAAGCUAAUGUCUGUAACUGGUUUUGAUAUGGUUUUUGAUGUUUUCUCAGAAUAUUUUAUGUGUAUAAGUUCUGUUAAAUCUGGCAUUAACAGGUAUGUUGAUCACAGUUACAAUGAGCAUCUUUUUUUCAUGAAAAAUGUGGUUUAGAGGAGAUUGAACACAAAAUGAAAUUUUAAAAUCCUUGGUGAUUAAUCAUAUCAUCUGAUCACAUGCCUGUGUAACUGUUUUCAUUAUUGUGAAAUAGGAAACCUUGUCUAAAGUACUCCCUUGAAGGUUUUAAACUUUGAACUAAACUGAGCAUUAAUGUGAUCUUUUUUAUAAAGCCUGUAAAGUUUUGUAGGAUUGUACUAUUAACAUGCUAUAUGUAAAUAAAUAAUGGCAUAGGCUUAUUAUUUAACA